rnacentral:lncRNA from 1 species
GAGAAUUCUGGGAAGAACAGAGAGAAUGAGUCACGAUUGCCAUGUAGCUACCAGGAAGAUCGGACACCCAGGCAUUCUCUGGUCUCAUGGAAGGCACUGACCUGUGAUUUAUGUGUCAUAAAAGGGCCAGGAUGUUUGAUGCGCACACUUAUCCGCUGGAGAAGAAACAUUAAAUGAAAGCUAAUGGACCCGGGCACAUGCGCAUUCCAUGGCAAUCCGGCCCCUGGCCAGGCCACGCUGAUUUUCAGGUCACAGAUCUCCAUGCAGCUGAAUCAGCAAAGCCAAAAGGUCUGAACUCCCUGCUCCUUCACCACCGAAAGGCUUUUGCAACCGUGUUUUAUAUGUAACCCUUCAGAGUUAAAAUCCUGACGUGAAGGCAAAAUCCAAGCUGAUGAGGCCAUCGAAAAUGAGAGUUAACAAGCCACAGUUCCGGAGGGAAGGCCUCUUUGACCUAAUACUGAACAGUUUCUUACAGCGGUUGAGUCCCUUUGAAUGGCGGAGAGCGGAGCUUUCAUUGAGCCAUUGGUAAUCAAGCCCAUCUUCUGUUUCUCAAGGUACUGAUGACUGGACCAACAGCACCAGCAUAGAACUUGUUAGAGAAGAAAAUACUUGAGCAAAACCUGGGACUCCCUUCUUAGUUCAUCUUCAUUGUCUAUUUGAUCCUAUUAGGAAUGACCUAUGGGGCACACUUCUGGGUUAUUUAUAGAUAGCUCUCAAGUAUGUGCAAGUGUGUGUGUGUGUGUGUGUGUGUGUGUGUGUGUGUGUGUGUGUGCGCGUGCGCGCGCGCGCGCACUUGUAUCCAUGCAUGCACGCUUCCAGGUAUUUAUGCAUAACGCAGGCAUGCUGGUGAUCACCGGGGCCAGAAGAGGAUGUCAGAUUCCUUGGAACUGGAGUUGCAUAUGGUUGUGAGCCACCACGAGGAUGCUGGGAACUGGAUUCAGGUUCUCUGGAAGAGGCACCAUUUUAUGACACACCCCAUAAAUCAGAACUCUGGGGAUGGGGCUUAGUAGGUUAGAGUUCAGCUGUUCCUCCAGGUGGCCCUGAAUCUUGCUGAAGUUCACGUACACUUGUUUCAAAGAGCCUCUCAAAUUCUCAUGGGGCAAAAUGGGAGAAAUAGAUAUUCAGCUGACAAUCGAGUCCUUAUGCAGUUAGCAAUGUGAUUAUUGAAAUUGCC